ACUAGGUCCAUCAUUUUCUGAAUGGAGCAGCUAAAAUACUGUCUCCACGGACUGUGGACUCAGCAGCCAGACAGCUACUAAGAAACCCCAGGUUUUAGGGGGAGAAAGAACUAGCAUAUCUGGAUUCUAAAUCAGAAAUUCAGAGCCGAAGCCAAAGCAACUGAGUUUAGAAUCUGCUCGAUGGGAACUCUGCCCCCAAGAGGAGGAGAUUCUGCGAGGACCCAUCUGUCCGUCGGGAGAGUGCUUUCCAGUCUUUGUCAUAGAGACGCAGGCAGUGACCUCCUUGCUGCUUCUGGCUUUGCUGUUAUUUUCAGAUUUUUUAUUUGGAAGCGGACCCUCGUCUUCCAGCUCAUCUCCGUCUGCUCGCCCCUCUCUGUGUUGCUUUAGUGCAGGAAGAAUGGGCAGCCUCGACUCUGAGAAUGAGGGGAAGGCUUCCUGUUCAUUCCUUGGGGCCUAAGAUGCACAGCAACCUGGGGAUGGGGCCGCACGUCGUGGCGGCCCUGCUUCUGGUCUCAAAGCGGGGUGCCCCAUGUCCCCUCUUGAGCUCCGUGCUCCCGUUCAAGGGUUCCUGGCGAGGAGAAGAACCAAGAGGAGAGAAAGCGGAGCACAUGAGACUCAGAAGGAUGCAGCAACAGGCCGACCUCACAUGCUCGGCGUCCAUCAGCCCCGGGCAUACACUCCUGGAAGACACGCUUCCUCCCGGCCGAAACAGGUGGAUUGGAGGGUGGGGCUCCAAGCCCAAGGUCGAGGAGACUGAGCCCCGAGCAGGCACCGCCCCUCUGCUCCCACGGUGCGUGGGAGGCCCAGAAAGCUGGGAACAAGCAUCCGUGGCAAAGAGCUUCUUAAGUGGGACACAUGCAUUUAAAAGUUUCUGA
ensembl:lncRNA